UAUUUUUGAUUCAUCUCUCUCCCAUGAGCUGCGAAACAAACCCAGAACCCAAAACCGCUUCCCCCUCCUCUGCUCUGUUUUUUGGUUUGGGUUUAUCAGACGACGGAGGAGGAGGGUCUUCUUAUUAUCACUGUUCUGGUCGCUGUUGUUAUAUAGUUUUAGGUUGGGUUCUAUUUUUUGGUUUGGGUUUAUCAGACGACGGAGGAGGGGUUCUAUUUAGUUUUACGUUACACAAUUGUAUGAGUCGGGAGGCGGCGAAAUCGUCAAAAUCAAUCAGUUUGGCGAAAUUAAUACUUGGCUUGGCAAAGAAAGAGAAGGGAAAAGAUCUGAAGGUGGCUUUUUUUGUUUGCUACGAGUAUGUGUGUUUUUUAGGUACUACGUUUACCCGCUUCGUAUAUCUAUCUAUUGCUGGGUUUAUUUUUGGUGAUUUUGAAAGGUCGGAGUGGUCGGUAGGGUUAGAUCUCUCUCCCAUACGCCUGAAACGUCACAAACUUACAGAGACUUUAUAGCUUCAGAUUUGGCUCAUUUACGGAGAAUGUCGCAAAUCGAUCUAAGACUGUAAGGAUGCUAAAUCGGAGAGGCUGAGGAAGGGAUGGCGGCUUCGGAAUGGAGAAUACGCUAAGCUCUGCGAUUGAUGCGCAACCCGUUCCAGUUCCAGGUGCUUUCUAGUUAUUAUUGUAAGGGUUUCUUCUCCACCGAUUCAUCAUGACGAUCAGGAGAGGGGUGGCACUAAGUCCAAGGAAAAAUACCAAAUCAAGAAAUGGGACUGUCAAUGUGAUUGCUAUCAACUCACUGGAGGAGACACAACAUUGAGAGAAUUGUGGAAGAUCUUAGCUUCAGCAUGUGCAAAAAACUUGUGGAGAUGAUGAAAGGGAACAUUUGGGUAGUUCCAAACAAUAAGGAUUUUGCACUAAGCAUGAGACUUAUCCUCAAGUUUCAACUCCAACCAUCUAUAGGAGGCGGCAUCUUUGAACCAGGUGGAUCAUCAGAGCACCUACCUUCAGAAUUCAGAGGCCUUCAAGUUAUAUUAGCUGAUUAUGAUGACUUCAAUAUGGCUGUGACACGAAAGCUCCUUGAGAAGCUCGGUUGCCAAUUUACUAUUGUUUCCUCUGGGUUUGAAUGCCUUGGUGUUUUUAAGUUUGCAACUAGAGUCCCAAAGUUCCAAAGCCAGAGUUGGCUAUUGAUUAUAUAGGUCACAUAUGAAAAAACUCUAAUAUACAGGUUACAGAUAACAAUCUUCCAUA